rnacentral:rRNA from 1 species
UACGUAGGGUGCGAGCGUUGUUCGGAAUUACUGGGCGUAAAGGGCUCGUAGGCGGCCAACUAAGUCAUACGUGAAAUCCCUCAGCUUAACUGGGGAACUGCGUGUGAUACUGGAUGGCUUGGAUUUGGGAGAGGGAUGCGGAAUUCCAGGUGUAGCGGUGAAAUGCGUAGAUAUCUGGAGGAACACCGGUGGCGAAGGCGGCAUCCUGGACCAAUAUUGACGCUGAGGAGCGAAAGCCAGGGGAGCAAACGGG